GCGGGGGUGCCCGAGCUAGGUCAAAAAGCCGCGACGGCUUGUCCAUAGGGGGCGGACUGAGGCUCCGCUGGCGUAGGCCUGCCCGGGUUCGAAUCCCGGCCCCCGCACCA
rnacentral:tRNA from 1 species